rnacentral:rRNA from 1 species
UACGUAGGGGGCAAGCGUUGUCCGGAUUUAUUGGGCGUAAAGAGCUCGUAGGCGGUUCCGUAAGUCGUGAAGUCAAAUCUCUGGGCUCAACCCAGAAUCGCUUCCGAUACUGCGGUAACUGGAGUCCGGUAGGGGAGUGUGGAAUUCCUGGUGUAGCGGUGAAAUGCGCAGAUAUCAGGAGGAACACCAACAGCGAAGGCAGCACUCUGGGCCGGUACUGACGCUGAGGAGCGAAAGCAUGGGGAGCGAACAGG